UUGCAGCGCUAUACAUGCAGUCGAGCGAACAGAUAAGGAGCUUGCUCCUUUGACGUUAGCGGCGGACGGGUGAGUAACACGUGGAUAACCUACCUAUAAGACUGGGAUAACUUCGGGAAACCGGAGCUAAUACCGGAUAACAUAUUGAACCGCAUGGUUCAAUAGUGAAAGGCGGCUUUGCUGUCACUUAUAGAUGGAUCCGCGCCGUAUUAGCUAGUUGGUAAGGUAACGGCUUACCAAGGCAACGAUACGUAGCCGACCUGAGAGGGUGAUCGGCCACACUGGAACUGAGACACGGUCCAGACUCCUACGGGAGGCAGCAGUAGGGAAUCUUCCGCAAUGGGCGAAAGCCUGACGGAGCAACGCCGCGUGAGUGAUGAAGGUCUUCGGAUCGUAAAACUCUGUUAUCAGGGAAGAACAAAUGUGUAAGUAACUGUGCACAUCUUGACGGUACCUGAUCAGAAAGCCACGGCUAACUACGUGCCAGCAGCCGCGGUAAUACGUAGGUGGCAAGCGUUAUCCGGAAUUAUUGGGCGUAAAGCGCGCGUAGGCGGUUUUUUAAGUCUGAUGUGAAAGCCCACGGCUCAACCGUGGAGGGUCAUUGGAAACUGGAAAACUUGAGUGCAGAAGAGGAAAGUGGAAUUCCAUGUGUAGCGGUGAAAUGCGCAGAGAUAUGGAGGAACACCAGUGGCGAAGGCGACUUUCUGGUCUGUAACUGACGCUGAUGUGCGAAAGCGUGGGGAUCAAACAGGAUUAGAUACCCUGGUAGUCCACGCCGUAAACGAUGAGUGCUAAGUGUUAGGGGGUUUCCGCCCCUUAGUGCUGCAGCUAACGCAUUAAGCACUCCGCCUGGGGAGUACGACCGCAAGGUUGAAACUCAAAGGAAUUGACGGGGACCCGCACAAGCGGUGGAGCAUGUGGUUUAAUUCGAAGCAACGCGAAGAACCUUACCAAAUCUUGACAUCCUUUGACCGCUCUAGAGAUAGAGUCUUCCCCUUCGGGGGACAAAGUGACAGGUGGUGCAUGGUUGUCGUCAGCUCCGGUCGUGAGAUGUUGGGUUAAGUCCCGCAACGAGCGCCAUCCCUUAAGCUUAGUUGCCAUCAUUAAGUUGGGCCCUCUAAAUUGACUGCCGGUGACAACCGGAGGA
rnacentral:rRNA from 1 species